rnacentral:lncRNA from 10 species
GAAUGUCAUUUAGCAGAUGGCAUUUGAGCAAACACUUGCAAAAGGUGAGGAAGAUAGCCAUCAUAGCUGAUGGAACAAGCAAAACAAAAGUCAUAAGGAAGAAUUGUACUCGUGUGUUUGAAGACAUCAAGGAAUCCGGGGCGAUAGACAUAGCAAGUGAGGGGAGGGUAUGAGAGGAAUUGGGUGGGAGGCACAGUGGGAGGCCAGGGCAUUUAAGAUGUUGAGGACUUUCGGCUUCAUGCAGCAUAACUGAGUAUAUUUAAGAAAGAAUGCUCAUUGAAUGUUCCCGUUACACCAUGCACUGAGGUGAAAUAACAGCAUCACUGGACGCAAGAAGGAAACCCUUACCCCAACCCCACUGAAAUGAUUUAGAUGUCCAGGUUUGUCCAAUAGAACAUAAAACUGUGACGCUUGAAGAUAAACGUGACCUUGACCAGCCCUGAGCAGCAGGACUCUUUGGUCCAACUGCCCGAAAAACUAUUGUCAAGAAAAUGCCCAGUGACCUCCAAACUCCUGACCUUUCAAUUACCUCAGUGGAUGGACCGAGAGAAAGCAAAAGGCAUCCCAGUGUCUCCUCACUAUGGAGUGGAAGGAGCAAGAGGUUUAUAAUAGCAUCUUGUUAUAUUGAAGUCACAAGCUACCAGCAUCUUCUUAUAUUGAAGUCACAGGCAGGAUUUAAAUUCAUCUUAUAUGUAAGUAUGGUAUCCCAGUGUGUCAGUGAAGAGACAGAUGUUACUGAGAUCACCUUGCCCAGGGACGCAUCUCCUAAUAUCUGCAAGGAUGUCCUGUAUACCAAAAGUAUAGCUUCAUUCCUUCUAAUCCCAAAGACUCUCAAAUAAAGCAAAUCUGCGGGAGGACAAAGAUGAUGGUAAGCACAGAGGAGAAUGGGUAUCAAUCACUUACAUCAUUAGGAAGGAGUGAAAUCUUACAAUGAUCUUUCCCUCUGCUUUCUUCCUUUCAGGUGAUCUAACUUCCUGUGCCAGCAUCAUCAUUUUACAAUAAGAUUUGACUUUGGUUAAAGUUUGAAAUUCUCCUCUGAGGAAACACAUUUCAGGAUGUUAUCUUUCAUGCAUACCUUAUCAUGAAGAAAGGAUCCAACUAUUCAUAAUCUAGAUUUCCACUGAUUUCUUUAACCACAGUUUGAUAACAACCACCAGUGAGGUAGUCAGGUCCAGGUCUUAUGGAACUUUAUUCUGUUCAUUGGGAAUGUGGGUUUUAUUGAUGAGGGAGUGAUAAACUAUUGGAGAAUUCUCAAUUGUGGCGUCAUGUCUUCUGAGUUAUACUUUUACAGGAAUGAUUCUGGUUGCUCUGAAGGAACAGAUAGAUGUGGGGAGACAAGAAUAAAAGCAAGGAGGCUUGUAACUGGCUGUUUUCAUACUAGAGGAACUUCAGGACUGAAUCCUGCAGUAGAAGCAAGAACAGGCUAUUGGGAGACUCUGGUCCUCAACUGCACAAAGAAGGGCCCAUAUCCUCAACUCUGCCACAGACCUCUUUGAUUCCAGUUGGAAGCCUGGAGAUUUCACUGCUGCUGAGGAGGGUUCCAGGGACUGGGAAACCUGAGCUGUGAGCUGAGCUUGGGUGAUCUGUUUCCAUCUGUGGUCUGGUGCUGAUGGUUUCCAAGGCAGGAAUCAAGUCAGUCCUUGAAGAGCUACAACAGAGCAAAAGUGCAGGUAAACAAAGCAACACGAAGGCUAAAUAAAAGUCAUUUCCCCAAGCAAAAUAAGGGUAGGGACCUUCAGAUGGACAGAUUAGCCUGGAUUAAGCAGAUGGAGAAGCCGAGGAUCAAGGAUCGGGCCAGGAGCCAAGGAAUACUGCCACCUCUAGAAGUUGGGAACGGCCCUCAGCUUACAGCCACUAAGAAAAGGGGGAUUUUGGCCCUCUAGCUGCAAGGAAUCUAAUUCCACUUGAAUUAACAAGGAACAUCCAGGCAGGAAUGUAGCCCUGACAACACCCUAAUUUAGGCCAGUCAGGCCCGGACAGACUUCUGACCCACGGAAUUCUAAAAUAAUUUGUGUUUCUUAAACCAUCAAAUUUGUUGUAAUUUGUUAUGGUAGCAACAGGAAUCAAAUAUACCUCUCUACUUUUACAAGAUAUUGUUGUCUGCAGCCUGUUUGAAGUCGGUGACUAAACACAGCUGGUUACUAUGGCAGGCCCAUUCUGAAGAGUUGCAGGACACCCUCGGGAGUACUUUGGUUUGAAGCCUCCUCAUCACCUCGGCUGCCGUUUCUGGGAUCUGGGUUGCAGUCUGAGGCUCAUUUUUCCAAUUCCCAAUACUUCCUACUGAUGAUAUUCUUGAGAGUCAGGCUUUAUCAAGAGAGAAAAAGGACUUUAAAAUUUUCAAACUCCUUUUUAAAUAUCAGAGAUUUUUUUGGCCUACUUUGAUUACAGGUCCUUACUUAUAAGUCUCUCCUUCCUAGGGAGAAAAUAGAAAGCUUUAAGAGACAGAUUACACUUUACCUGACAUUCAUUUUUGCAUGCCUUGUUAAACAUGAAAGAAUGUGUUAAGGCCAUUUUUUAUUGUUUAAUUUGUUGUUUUGACUUUGGGUGUGUGUGUUUGUGUCAAUUAUUUUUUAAUCUACUAGAACAUUCAUUAUCCUUUUUAUUUUGGAAAACAAGGGUGAGAAAGGUUACGUGAUCUGGAGGUAAAAAUACACCAUUAUGUAAAGUUGAAGUGUCAUCCCCUGAAUCCACAUUGCACAUCUAUAAAGUAGAAGAACUUGUCUUACUCCAGUGUUUAGUAUUCGUUAGGUUAAUGUUUUUCAAACAAGCUUGAUAGUAAGAAGCAUUUGAGACUUUUGUUUAAAAUACAUCCCCCUCUACCACUGAAAGUUUAAUUUGGUAAGUUUGUUUGGACAUACAGAUUCUGUAUUUCUAAGAAAUAUUUAGAUGGUUUUUAUCAGACUUGGAGGUCCUCUUAUUGAAAAUAAAAAAGUAGACAUGCUCACGAUGAAGUUUACCUUUUCUUUCUAUUCAUCUAUUUUAAAAAAUAUUUAUGAAAAAUGCUUGCCUGCUGCUUAGCUUGAUUUAAGAGAUAAACUGAUCAGACAGAAUGUCAAGCCAGCCAGCAUCUCCUGGUCUACACCAAAGCCUUUCCUACUUCUUUCAAACAGUGAAGGCACCAGGACAGAGU